CCUACGGGUGGCAGCAGUGGGGAAUAUUGCACAAUGGGGGAAACCCUGAUGCAGCAACGCCGCGUGAGUGAGGAAGUAUUUCGGUAUGUAAAGCUCUAUCAGCAGGGAAUAGAAAAGAAGGUACCUGAAAAAGAAGCCCCGGCUAACUACGUGCCAGCAGCCGCGGUAAUACGUAGGGGGCAAGCGUUAUCCGGAUUUACUGGGUGUAAAGGGAGCGUAGACGGUGAUGUAAGUCUGGAGUGAAAGGCGGGGGCCCAACCCCCGGACUGCUCUGGAAACUAUGUGACUGGAGUGCAGGAGAGGUGAGCGGAAUUCCUAGUGUAGCGGUGAAAUGCGUAGAUAUUAGGAGGAACACCAGUGGCGAAGGCGGCUCACUGGACUGUAACUGACGUUGAGGCUCGAAAGCGUGGGGAGCAAACAGGAUUAGAUACCCCUGUAGUC
rnacentral:rRNA from 1 species